rnacentral:rRNA from 1 species
AUUGAACGCUGGCGGCAGGCCUAACACAUGCAAGUCGAGCGGACGAGAGGAGCUUGCUCCUCGAUUCAGCGGCGGACGGGUGAGUAAUGCCUAGGAAUCUGCCUAGUAGUGGGGGACAACGUUUCGAAAGGAACGCUAAUACCGCAUACGUCCUACGGGAGAAAGUGGGGGAUCUUCGGAUCUCACGCUAUUAGAUGAGCCUAGGUCGGAUUAGCUAGUUGGUAGGGUAAAGGCCUGCCAAGGCGACGAUCCGUAACUGGUCUGAGAGGAUGAGCAGUCACACUGGAACUGAGACACGGUCCAGACUCCUACGGGAGGCAGCAGUGGGGAAUAUUGGACAAUGGGCGAAAGCCUGAUCCAGCCAUGCCGCGUGUGUGAAGAAGGCCUUCGGGUCGUAAAGCACUUUAAGUUGGGAGGAAGAGCUCAUAGCGAAUACCUGUGAGUUUUGACGUUACCAACAGAAUAAGCACCGGCUAACUUCGUGCCAGCAGCCGCCGCAG